GGCCAGGUGGCGGGGUGACCGGGUGAGGACCAGGAGGUGCUGGCCCCAUGGGCCAUAGCGGGAGCCCCAGGAGCUCUGAGCAGAGGAAGCGUCGCAGGAGAGCAGGGCGCUGACCCUCCAGAGCUUAGCUCUUGUGCUGCGAAGAGGAAGGUGGAGGGUCAGACCCAAGUCACCAAGAGCCCUUGGCUAGGGGUGAAGGGAGGAGAAAACAAAGCCCACGGGAAGGGGCGCUUCAGCCAAAGCACUGCAAGGAAGGGUGGGGCCGUCUCCAGGCAGAGGACGACGGAGGGGACAGUGCUAUCCCCAACUUCAUCACUGUGUAUGUUAACUUGAAAACUGGGGUGGCCCGUCAGCAACCCUCACCAAUCGGGUGUUCACCUCCCCUGUCACGGUGGGUGGGGAGCUUCUGACCUGUGUUGGUCUUCUCUGGAACUGUCACCGUGGCCAUCCUACCUGGGGGGCUUCAUCUACCCGUCAAUUCCAUGUAAUGGGGGUACUGGGGUCAGUAGCUGGUCAGAAGUUAGUGGCCCGAGCUACUAAAGGAAUCUUUGUCCCCCGACAAAUGGAGACCCCUUGAGCCGUGGCCCCUGGCCUCAAGUCCACAUCCGGGGGCCCUGUCCGAGGCAGUCCCACGAAUCUUUUUCUCUUGACGCAUUUCCGAUUAGCUCCUUUUGCUUCUCUUUCUUUUCUACAAAUUAACUACCACUUUGCUUUCCUGUUUACUCUGGAGGGAGUGUAAAGACCCUCGAGUGAUUCAAAGAGCCGGUGACCUGGCCUGCAUCUCACGGCUCAUUGCUCGCUGCUACAACCCAAGGACAGGACCAGACAGGUGUUGACAGGGACCCGCUGGCCCGUUUGCGACAAGGCAGGGGCAGAAGUGGGAGAGACGGAGGUUCCGACAGGGGCUUUGUGUUUCCGUCCUUGGCAGAGCAGCCCUGGGGUGGGGUUCA
rnacentral:lncRNA from 1 species